rnacentral:lncRNA from 12 species
UCUAUCUAUCUAUCUAUCUAUCUAUCUACCUAUCUAUCUACCUAUUUGAUGACUGUGUGUUUUAAUUCAAUUGGCUUUUCCUUAGGUAAGCGGAUGGUGGUGGUGAUCCUUGCUUUGCAAGCUGCAUGCCAAACUUGUUGUAGCUUGCCUGAUAAACUUAGACUUUCUAAAUAAGCUAAAUGGAACUAAGACCAGAAUUAUUAAAACCAGCAAAAGUUUAGCCAUUUUCUUCAGCAGUGACAGAAAUGCAAGAGCGGGGAAUUGUACCCAGUGACUCACCUGGCUCAGAAUCCUCUCCCCCGGCAGUGGCCAGGGAUGGGUGCCUGAGGAGAGACAAGAACCAGCUGCAGAGAUGCAAAACACCUCACAAGUGCUGCUGAGAAACUGGAGGUUAUUUCACUGAUUUGAGUGAAAUUCACUGAAACAGGGAUUUAUUUCAUCAAGCAUCCACAUCACGGAUCUAUUUAAAUUUUAUGAUGCCGGAGGAUAUGAAAUUGCAUGUCUCAGCUUUUCAGGAUUCAGCUGUUCUGCUAAUGUUUGUCAUGGCUAAGGAAGACACCCAAACGAGGAACAUAUUUAAAAACUACCCACAAAAUAAACACAAACAGUUCUCAGGGACAAGGCAUGAACAUAAAGCAGUUUUCUUCUGACUCAUGUCUUACACCUCUAAGGUGUACACCUCUAUUAAGGCAUGCAGGCAAAUGCACAAGGCAUUCCUAAAGGAAAAAGCAAAUCAGGUUUCUGUAGUCUCAGGACAGCUGGCAAAAGAGAAAAUUCAAACAAGGCAUGUUCCCCUCUCUCUGCUUGCUAGGGAAAGGCUUCGUUCUGAAGCAGCCAAGCAGCACAGCAGCCCCAGGAGACAGUGGCUGAUUACCAAGGCUGUGGGGGCUGGCAGGGAGGGCUGCAAGGUUGGAAGCAAACCCGGUGUAGCUGCUGGCACUUGCUCCCUGCAGGAAUAGUGAGUUCAUUUUUGUGCGCUUCCUGAUGCUCGCUCUGCGGUCGGGAGCUGAUAGAAGGCAACGCUUCAACUUCCUGAACCCUCUAAAUAAAGCAUCCUUUCUGUAGAGCUUGGUUUGCUGGUUUUUUUUUUCCUCACAGAAAGGCACAUUGUGCUUUCUGCUUUGGUUGGAUUUUCG